GCAAGUCGAACGGUUCCGAUUUAUCGGGAUAGUGGCGGAUGGGUGAGUAACGCGUAAGUAACCUGCCCUUAAGUAGGGGAUAACUCUGAGAAAUUGGAGCUAAUACCUUAUGUGGUGAUGGAGUUAAGGCUUCAUCAUUAAAGCUUUAGGGUGCUUGAGGAUGGGCUUGCGUCCGAUUAGCUAGUUGGUAGGGUAAGGGCUUACCAAGGCGAUGAUCGGUAGCUGGUUUGAGAGGACGGUCAGCCACACUGGGAUUGAGAUACGGCCCAGACUCCUACGGGAGGCAGCAGCAAGGAAUAUUGUGCAAUGGGCGAAAGCCUGACACAGCGACGCCGCGUGAGGGAAGAAGGCCUUCGGGUUGUAAACCUCUUUUCUCAGGGAAGAAUAAUGACGGUACCUGGGGAAUAAGUCACGGCUAACUACGUGCCAGCAGCCGCGGUAAUACGUAGGUGGCAAGCGUUAUCCGGAUUUACUGGGUGUAAAGAGGGCGCGGGCGGCUUUUCAAGUCGAAUAUAAAAUCUCCCGGCUUAACUGGGAGGGAUUAUUCGAUACUGUUGGGCUAGAGAGCAGCAGAGGGAGGUGGAAUUCCCGGUGUAGUGGUGAAAUGCGUAGAUAUCGGGAGGAACACCAGUGGCGAAGGCGGCCUCCUGGGCUGUUACUGGCGCUGAGGCCCGAAAGCGUGGGGAGCAAACAGGAUUAGAUACCCUGGUAGUCCACGCCAUAAACUAUGGACAC
rnacentral:rRNA from 1 species